AUGGGGAACCCUGGUGCAUUUCAUCAUUCUAUUACCCUACAAUCCUUCACUGUCUUCUUCCUUCUUGCUGUUUUUGUAGCAGAUUAUCAUGUCCAGGGAGGAGAUGAUGGAUGCUCACUGUUCUCCUGUGGACAUCUCCGAGACAUAUCAUAUCCUUUCCGUCGGCGAGGUGAUCCUCAUGAGUGUGGUGUUGAAGAAUACGAGCUGGGUUGCACCAGUAGCAAGGCUACAAUUCACAUCAACACGGGAACAUACUAUGUGACUGCCAUCAACUACACUGGUUCCUACUUCUGGGUCAUGGAUACCAACUUCAAUACCAGUAGCAGCUGCCCUCUUCCAUUGUGGAAUCACAUUCCUUACUUUGGAUAUUACGGCGACACUGAUUCAGUUUCACCACCUGGCUUUCGUUAUUUGCUCACUCAAAGUUCCUACGAAGCAUGUUUUUGUAAUUGUUCACGAGCAGUAACAGAUAAUAGUAGAUACAAGCCCGUUGCUUGCCUGAGUGCCAACAAUUCAUAUGUUUAUGUCUGGGUGUCUGGUUCAUGUGUGGUUGAAGAUCUUGAACCUUAUUGUGGAUACCUGGCCAAGAUUCCAUUUGGGGAUGAGUACUCUUCUUAUUGGCGACAGCUACAGAAUGCAAGUUAUGCAGAAAUCACACAGCACAUUUCUAAGGGGUUUACUGUCCAGUUUCCUGUCCCGGUUUACUUGGAACCUUCUGCAUCUGAGCAGUUAAGAAAGAACAUCAACUUAUGCCUCAACAAUUCAAUCAGCUACUUCAAGGAGCAAAUAUCUGGCACAAGCAUUAUUAAUUGGACUCAUGCUAUUUUCUGGAGUGAGGUGCACUUCUUAGAAUGCGUGACUCAGGAUGGUAACGAUCACAUCCACACAGCAAAGUUGGUUUUGAUUGUUGCAACCAUAGUAUCUGCUAUUGCUAUCCCCAAGUUCUUUUUUGUACUGUGCAGGUUCUUGUUGGCACCCCUGGCUGUAUGGAUAUUCCUAGCCUACAAGUACAUGAAAACAAGGAUCAUAAUUGAUGCAGUUGAGAAGUUCCUCAGGAUUCAACAAAUGAUUGGCCCGGCGAGGUACUCCUACACAGAUAUAGUUGCAGUCACAAGCCAUUUCAGAGAUAAAUUGGGCCAAGGGGGCUAUGGUACCGUGUACAAGGGCGUGCUACUCCCAGGCGAUGUCCAUGUCGCCGUGAAGAUGCUAGAGGGCAACUCCAACUGCAAUGGAGAAGAUUUCAUCAGCGAGGUCUCCACCAUCGGCAGGAUCCACCAUGUCAACGUGGUGCGUUUGGUGGGGUUCUGCUCGGAGGAAAUGCGAAGGGCCUUAGUCUACGAGUACAUGCCCAAUGGCUCUCUAGACAAGUACAUCUUCUCUGCUGAGAAGAGCUUCUCAUGGGACAAGCUCAACGAGAUCGCUCGGGGCAUUGCCAGGGGGAUCAACUACUUACAUCAGGGGUGCGACAUGCAGAUUCUACACUUUGACAUCAAGCCGCACAACAUCCUUCUCGACAGCAAUUUCAUCCCAAAGGUCGCCGAUUUCGGGCUCGCCAAGCUGUAUCCGAGGGGUGACAGUUUCGUGCCACUAAGUGCCAUGCGGGGAACCAUCGGCUACAUAGCCCCCGAGAUGAUAUCCCGGAGCUUCGGCGUCAUAUCCAGCAAGUCCGACGUGUAUAGCUUCGGGAUGCUGCUGCUGGAGAUGGCCGGCGGGAGAAGGAACGCUGAUCCAAACAUGGGGUCCUCAAGCCAGGCGUACUACCCGUCAUGGGUGUAUGACCAGCUGACUCAAGAAGAAGCGGGCGAGAUAUCUCCAGUUGCUGCCAACAUGCACGAGCUGGAGAAGAAGCUGUGCGUUGUCGCAUUAUGGUGUAUUCAGAUGAGGUCUCGUGAUCGGCCGACGAUGAGCGAGGUCAUUGAGAUCCUGGAGGCUGGGUUUGAUGGCCUACAGAUGCCUUCGAGGCCGUUUUUCUGCGACGAAGGGCACAACCAUGUGGAGGACUCUUACCUUUUCAGUUCCGAGCUGACGGCGGUCUCGGAGGAGGAACUGUCUGUGGUGUCCGAGGAAGACGAUGUGUGA
rnacentral:rRNA from 1 species